AUUGAACGCUGGCGGCAGGCCUAACACAUGCAAGUCGAGCGGGGUUUUCGGACCUAGCGGCGGACGGGUGAGUAAUGCGUAGGAAGCUACCCGAUAGAGGGGGAUACCAGUUGGAAACGACUGUUAAUACCGCAUAAUGUCUACGGACCAAAGUGUGGGACCUUCGGGCCACAUGCUAUUGGGUGCGCCUACGUGGGAUUAGCUAGUUGGUGAGGUAAUGGCUCACCAAGGCGACGAUCUCUAGCUGGUUUGAGAGGAUGAUCAGCCACACUGGAACUGAGACACGGUCCAGAAUCCUACGGGAGGCAGCAGUGGGGAAUAUUGGACAAUGGGCGAAAGCCUGUUCCAGCCAUGCCGCGUGUGUGAAGAAGGCCUUCGGGUUGUAAAGCACUUGCAGUAGGGAGGAAGCGUUGUGUGUUAAUAGUACACAGCGUUGACGUUACCUACAGAAGAAGCACCGGCUAACUCUGUGCCAGCAGCCGCAGUAAAAC
rnacentral:rRNA from 1 species